GACGAACGCUGGCGGCGUGCUUAACACAUGCAAGUCGAACGGAGAGGCCCUGCUUUUGUGGGGUGCUCGAGUGGCGAACGGGUGAGUAACACGUGAGUAACCUGCCCUUGACUGUGGGAUAACUUCAGGAAACUGGGGCUAAUACGGGAUAGGAGCUCCUGCUGCGUGGGGGGGGUGGGAAAGUUUCGGCGGUUGGGGAUGGACUCGCGGCUUAUCAGCUUGUUGGUGGGGUAGUGGCUUACCAAGGCUUUGACGGGUAGCCGGCCUGAGAGGGUGACCGGCCACAUUGGGACUGAGAUACGGCCCAGACUCCUCCGGGAGGCAGCAGUGGGGAAUAUUGCACAAUGGGCGGAAGCCUGAUGCAGCAACGCCGCGUGCGGGAUGACGGCCUUCGGGUUGUAAACCGCUUUCGCCUGUGACGAAGCGUGAGUGACGGUAAUGGGUAAAGAAGCACCGGCUAACUACGUG
rnacentral:rRNA from 1 species